rnacentral:rRNA from 1 species
GAUGAACGCUAGCGGGAGGCCUAACACAUGCAAGCCGAGCGGUAGAAUCUUUUCGGAGAUUUGAGAGCGGCGUACGGGUGAGGAACACGUGUGCAACCUGCCUUUAUCUGGGAGAUAGCCUUUCGAAAGGAAGAUUAAUAUCCCAUAAUAUAUUGAGUGGCAUCACUUAAUAUUGAAAGCUCCGGCGGAUAGAGAUGGGCACGCGCAAGAUUAGAUAGUUGGUGAGGUAACGGCUCACCAAGUCUACGAUCUUUAGGGGGCCUGAGAGGGUGAGCCCCCACACUGGUACUAGGACACGAACCAGACUCCUACGGGAGGCAGCAGUGAGGAAUAUUGGACAAUGAGUGCAAGCCUGAUCCAGCCAUCCCGCGUGAAGGAUUAAGUUCCUAUGGAUUGUAAACUUCUUUUAUACAGGGAUAAACCUCUCCUCGUGAGGAGAGCUGAAGGUACUGUAUGAAUAAGCACCGGCUAACUCCGUGCCAGCAGCCGCCGUAACAC